GGGCGUAAAGCGCACGCAGGCGGUUUGUCAAGUCGGAUGUGAAAUCCCCGGGCUCAACCUGGGAACUGCAUUCGAAACUGGCAGGCUUGAGUCUUGUAGAGGGGGGUAGAAUUCCAGGUGUAGCGGUGAAAUGCGUAGAGAUCUGGAGGAAUACCGGUGGCGAAGGCGGCCCCCUGGACAAAGACUGACGCUCAGGUGCGAAAGCGUGGGGAGCAAACAGGAUUAGAUACCCUGGUAGUCCACGCCGUAAACGAUGUCUACUUGGAGGUUGUGCCCUUGAGGCGUGGCUUCCGGAGCUAACGCGUUAAGUAGACCGCCUGGGGAGUACGGCCGCAAGGUUAAAACUCAAAUGAAUUGACGGGGGCCCGCACAAGCGGUGGAGCAUGUGGUUUAAUUCGAUGCAACGCGAAGAACCUUACCUGGUCUUGACAUCCACGGAAGUUUUCAGAGA
rnacentral:rRNA from 1 species